UCUCUCUCCCUCGCUAGGUGCAGCAGAUUCUGCAAAGCAGGGAGGCACUCUCCCUGCUCUGCUACUCUGCUGGUGUUCGUGUGCGCUGCUGCCCUCCUCCCCCUCCUUCCUCCCACUGGUGAAUUCUGCCACGGACCUGCAGUAUGUCUCCGCUCCAGUAACAGAAGUGAUCCCGGAGUCUCAGGAAGCUGAUGCUGUGUGUGUCUCCCGUAUACAGGUCACAUGACUGGUGCUGAGCAGUCAUGUAACCAGGAAGUCUCAGCUCUACAGAGAUGUGUGAGGUUCCCUACUUUGGACUGAAGAGGACCUUUCUCAAUGGAUUUGUAAUUAACAUAUCAGUGAAAGAAGGGGUCUCUCGGGAGGAAGGGGAAUUAAUUAAUUUCAGAAAUGUUUUAACUGAAGUCAAGAGGAAGAAUAACAAAAGUACAAUACAGAUGCAGAAGGGUUACAAGUCUAUGAACUAUGUAGAAGGCAAAGAGAUACAAUCAUACUUUCAAGAAAUAAUAAAUGGUGAAUGCAUAGAACUUUCUUUCAUCAUAGUCUGUGAAAGUCAUCGUAUAGUGCAACUGUAACUGUACUGUGUGGUAUUCAAACAAAAUCUGCAUCCCUCGUUUUCGAGGUUUCCACCCAGUAUAUCAAUAAAAUAUAAAUCGGCUUCAAGAAUAAGAAUAAAAGAUGAGUCAGAAGUUACACAAAGGAAGGAAAAAGGAAAAAGAAUGACGGAGGGAAGGGGAAAAAGGGGGGAGGGAAAGAGAAGCCAUGUGCACCUAUGCACAGCACCUCCACCUUCUCAAGAACAAACAAUUGGAGGGUCUUGUAAAAGCAUUCUAGUU